GAUGAACGCUAGCUACAGGCUUAACACAUGCAAGUCGAGGGGCAGCAUGAACAUAGCUUGCUAUGUUUGAUGGCGACCGGCGCACGGGUGCGUAACACGUAUCCAAUCUACCCAUGGCUCGGGGAUAGCCUUUCGACAGAAAGAUUAAUACCCGAUGGUCUCGGUGUAAGGCAUCUUAGACUGAGUAAAGAUUUAUCGGCGUUGGAUGAGGAUGCGUCUGAUUAGGUAGAUGGCGGGGUAACGGCCCACCAUGCCUACGAUCAGUAGGGGUUCUGAGAGGAAGGUCCCCCACAUUGGAACUGAGACACGGUCCAAACUCCUACGGGAGGCAGCAGUGAGGAAUAUUGGUCAAUGGACGAGAGUCUGAACCAGCCAAGUAGCGUGAAGGAUGACUGCCCUAUGGGUUGUAAACUUCUUUUGUUUGGGAAUAAAGUUCGGGACGUGUCCCGUUUUGUAUGUACCAUUCGAAUAAGCAUCGGCUAAUUCCGUGCCAGCAGCCGCGGUAAAAC
rnacentral:rRNA from 1 species